GACGAACGCUGGCGGCGUGCUUAACACAUGCAAGUCGAACGGAAAGGCCCUGCUUUUGUGGGGUGCUCGAGUGGCGAACGGGUGAGUAACACGUGAGUAACCUGCCCUUGACUUUGGGAUAACUUCAGGAAACUGGGGCUAAUACCGGAUAGGAGCUCCUGCUGCAUGGUGGGGGUUGGAAAGUUUCGGCGGUUGGGGAUGGACUCGCGGCUUAUCAGCUUGUUGGUGGGGUAGUGGCUUACCAAGGCUUUGACGGGUAGCCGGCCUGAGAGGGUGACCGGCCACAUUGGGACUGAGAUACGGCCCAGACUCCUACGGGAGGCAGCAGUGGGGAAUAUUGCACAAUGGGCGGAAGCCUGAUGCAGCAACGCCGCGUGCGGGAUGACGGCCUUCGGGUUGUAAACCGCUUUCGCCUGUGACGAAGCGUGAGUGACGGUAAUGGGUAAAGAAGCACCGGCUAACUACGUGCCAGCAGCCGCGGUGAUACGUAGGGUGCGAGCGUUGUCCGGAUUUAUUGGGCGUAAAGGGCUCGUAGGUGGUUGAUCGCGUCGGAAGUGUAAUCUUGGGGCUUAACCCUGAGCGUGCUUUCGAUACGGGUUGACUUGAGGAAGGUAGGGGAGAAUGGAAUUCCUGGUGGAGCGGUGGAAUGCGCAGAUAUCAGGAGGAACACCAGUGGCGAAGGCGGUUCUCUGGGCCUUUCCUGACGCUGAGGAGCGAAGGCGUGGGGAGCGAACAGGCUUAGAUACCCUGGUAGUCCACGCUGUAAACGGUGGGUACUAGGUGUGGGGUCCAUUCCACGGGUUCCGUGCCGUAGCUAACGCUUUAAGUACCCCGCCUGGGGAGUACGGCCGCAAGGCUAAAACUCAAAGGAAUUGACGGGGCCCCGCACAAGCGGCGGAGCAUGCGGAUUAAUUCGAUGCAACGCGUAGAACCUUACCUGGGUUUGACAUGGAUCGGGAGCGCUCAGAGAUGGGUGUGCCUCUUUUGGGGUCGGUUCACAGGUGGUGCAUGGCUGUCGUCAGCUCGUGUCGUGAGAUGUUGGGUUAAGUCCCGCAACGAGCGCAACCCUUGUUCACUGUUGCCAGCACGUUAUGGUGGGGACUCAGUGGAGACCGCCGGGGUCAACUCGGAGGAAGGUGGGGAUGACGUCAAGUCAUCAUGCCCCUUAUGUCCAGGGCUUCACGCAUGCUACAAUGGCUGGUACAGAGAGUGGCGAGCCUGUGAGGGUGAGCGAAUCUCGGAAAGCCGGUCUCAGUUCGGAUUGGGGUCUGCAACUCGACCUCAUGAAGUCGGAGUCGCUAGUAAUCGCAGAUCAGCAACGCUGCGGUGAAUACGUUCCCGGGGCU
rnacentral:rRNA from 1 species